rnacentral:rRNA from 1 species
GACGAACGCUGGCGGCGUGCUUAACACAUGCAAGUCGAACGGGUCUGCCCUGUUUUUUGCGGGGUGGGUCAGUGGCGAACGGGUGAGUAACACGUGAGUAACCUGCCCCUCACUUCUGGAUAACCGCUUGAAAGGGUGGCUAAUACGGGGUGUUCUGGCUGUGCCGCAUGGUGUGGCUGGGAAAGAUUCACUUUUGUGGUGUUUUGGUGGGGGAUGGGCUCGCGGCCUAUCAGCUUGUUGGGGGGGUGAUGGCCUGCCAAGGCUUUGACGGGUAGCCGGCCUGAGAGGGUGGGCGGUCACACUGGGACGGAGAUGCGGCCCAGACUCCUGCGGGAGGCAGCAGUGGGGGGUAUUGCACAAUGGGCGGAAGCCUGAUGCAGCGACGUCGCGUGAGGGAUGGAGGCCUUCGGGUUGUGAACCUCUUUCGCCGGUGAAGAAGGUCCUGCUCUUUGUGGUGGGGUUGACGGUAGCCGGGUUAUGAAGCGCCGGCUAACUACGUG